UGUAUCCCAGUACAUAUCUUCGAUGUUGUUAUAUUUUCAGCCUUCAGAGGCUGGUGGCGGUAUUGUGUUUUUAUUAUUAUUUUGUUUAUUAUGAGAAUUCAAUACUGCUCCAGCAGCUGGAGUUUCACUUCUUUAUAUUGGACGUGACGAAACUCUUGGGGACGUUCACGAUAACACCAAGGGCAGAUGACUGAGAUUUGUGAGUGAUUCACUCUGAUCAUGUGGUUUGACAGAUCCCUCUUGGUGAGGAAAACGGCAGGACAUUCUGUACAGGGAAACCGAGUCGAGUCCUUUGUUCGAUGUGCAGAUACUGGAUAUAGAAUUAAAGAUUUCAUUGUACUCUCUCACAUAAUGCGGUUUUUAUGCUCCCCAAAAAUUUUCGGGGAGCAUAUAGUUGCAUGUUUGUCAUUCCUUCCUUCCUUACUUCAUUACUUCCUGCCGUCACACUUGUAUUACAGUUUCUCAUAGCACCUUCAAUACUUUACCGAUCUCUUUCAUAUUUGGGCAUAAUCCAACACAUAAACAAAAACAUAUGGAAGAGGAGUAAAUCGCAGGAGGUUGAUCAGUCUACCUUAUUACUCGGUCGAGCUCAACUAAGGAAUAUAAACAUAAGAAAGCUGAUUGGGAAGAGCAAUUGCCUCUGUCCAUCGGGUUAAACAGUCACAAAUAACAAGGACGUACGAAUUACCAUCACUGGUACGAGGAAGAGUGCCAAAGAUAUCAAGAGCCACUCGUUCGAAAGGUUCAAGUGCGGGAACAGAGCCAAGCGGGAACAGAGCCAAGCGGGGACUUGGAGGGUUUUAUACGGCUUUCUUGCUGCACAUGAAUAACAUUCAGAGCAGAACUUCUCAAAGGAGGACUUUAUCCCAGGCCAAUAGAAAGUUUGCUGUACCUUUGCCAGCAUUUUGUCAGUGCCAAGGUGAGCUGAUGAGGGGAUGUUGUGCAUAAAGUCAAGUAGCUCAGGUCUGAGGAUAAAUGGGACUAGCAGUUGCUUGAAACUAAUGUUGCUAUCAUCAUAUCAGGUGCAAAAUAGACAACAACCAAGUAAUGAAAGUCUGUCCCACAUACGCAAGAGAGUUUUGGUUUCACUGCUUUGAUCCAUUACUUGGGACCAUGUUGGGCGCAAGCUGGAUUGCAUGAGAAUAUGAUUAUGAAACUUAGUGAAGGGUCUUGUCUUUUUUUGACUGGAUAUCUUCUAAUGACCAGUUAUCUAGUAAAAGUGGCGAGAAUUUGAAAACAGUUUGACUGCGAGUAACAACUCUGACAUCAGCACUGGAGAGACCUGAGGGAAGACUCAAAUCACAUUGAUAAAAGCCCUGCGUCAGUCACACAGAAUCUACUUGGAUUUUAUUCAUCGGCAAACUUCUUUCAAUUUUUUUAAGCAACUGGCUGAAACUCUACACUACUUAAAUCUGCUGUGGGAUUGAUUUAUAUCUUACAAUAUCUGUUUCAAUUCGCCAUGUCUGGGAUCAAAGACUGAACUAUCAUUUUGUAUAUCAACAGUGAGCAAUAAAAGCCGCUUUGACUGUUAGCCAAAAGUGGUUAAGCGCUCAGUAGUUGAUCAGGACGUUUUAGGUUCGAGCAAAGGACCGCUCAAUAAUGUCAUUGUUUCUUCAUUCUAUACAUAGAUGGUGACGUUAUUGUCACCUCUAUACUAAGACGCAUCACAUUCCCCUGGUUUGGGGAAUUAUGCUUCCACCAAAGUAGUUCUGCGUAGGAAUGAAAAUGUCAAUAAUAAAAUAAAAGUCGUUUUUUAUUGGUGUUUAAAAUGGAAUGUAGUUUAAAGAAAUGUUAUUUCACUAUGUUUAAAUGUGAUUUUGAAUCUCUAUUAAGACUGAUAGCGAUUAUCAGAAGCAUGAUUACCUGACCUACUUUCGCUUUCACUUUACACUCUUAAAAGAAGUGCUACCCUCAAUUCCUUUCGCGUUAGAACACAGGUCAGAAAGACCGGUGUGUACACAAUGAUCGUUUCUUUGAAUAUGGAAAUUCAUCUAGAUUGCACAGUGGACCGUAUUGAAAAUUAGUUACUAAAACUUAACUACCAGUUUUGUUUUUAAUAAUCAGCAACAGAUCAAUAUGUAAAUAUCCGACUUCUUUCAUUAUUUUUAGCUCACCUGAGCACAAUGUGCUCAUGGAGAGCUUUUGUGAUCGACUUUUGUCUGUCGUGCGUCAUGCGGCAUCAACAUUUUGCCUUGUGAACACUCUCGAGGCCACAUUUAUUUUCUGAUCUUCAUGAAAUUUGGUCAGAACAUUUGUCCCAUUGAUACCUCGACUGAGUUCGAAACUGGGUCAUGCUGGGUCAAAAACUCUGUCACUAGGUCUAAAAAAGAAAAACCUUGUGAACACUGUAGAAGUCACAUUUGAUGCCCAAUCUUCAUGUAACUUUGUCAAAAUGUUUGUCAAAUGAUAUGUUGGUUGAGUUCAAAAAUGGUUCCGGUCCGUUGAAAAACAUGGCCGCCAGGGGGCGGGGCAGUAUUCCUUAUAUGGCUAAAGAGAAACUUUGUGAACACUCUAGAAGUCACAAUUUUUUACCAAUCGUCAUGAAACUUAGUCAAAACAUUGGUUUCAUUGAUAUCUCGGACGAGUUCGAAAAUUGUCCAGAUCAUCGAAAACACAAGACCGCCAGGGGGCGGGACAGUUUUCUCUAUAUGUAUAUGGUGAAAACAUGUAAACACUCUAGAAGUCACAUUUUUCGUCCAAUCUUAAUGAAAUUUGGUGAGAACAUGUGUUUUCAGGAUAUGACUGUUGAGUUUGAAAAUGGUUCGGAUCUGUAAAAAAACAUGGCCUCUAGGGGGGUCAUUUUCCUUAUUUUUAUAUAGUAAAAAAAGGAAGCUUGUGAAAACUCUAGAAGUCAAAUUUUUCGCCUUAUCAUCAUAAUGUUUUUUUUUUAACAUCAAUUUUAUAGAUAUCUAGGAAGAGUUCGAACAUGGUGUUGAUGGGUGAAAAAAACAUGGCCGCCAGGGGGUGGGGUAGUUUUCUCUAUAUGUAUAUAAUGAAAACAUGUGAACAGUCUAGAAGACACAUUUUUAUUGCCCAAUCUUCAUGAAAUUUAGUCAGAACAUUUGUUUCCUGGAUGCGACACUUGUGUUCGAAAAUGGUUUGGAUCGGUAAAAAAAAACAUGGCCUCCAAGGGGGAGGGUUCUUUUUGCUUAUAUUUAUAUAGUAAAAAAGCUUGUGAACGCUCUAGAAGUCACUUUUUUUCCCUAAUCUUCAUGAAAUUUUGUCAAAACAUUAUUUAUGUUGAUGGCUCGGACGAGUUUAAAAAUGGUCGUGAUCAGUGGAAAAACUGCCUUGUAAUUGUUUACUUUGUUUUUAUUCUUAUAAUAAUAAUUAUUUAAAUUGCAAUUUUUAAUAACUUUUAAAUUUUAUUAAUGAUAGUUAAUAAUUUAUAAAUUCAUUAAUCAUGAAUCAGGUAUUUUUUUCAUUGAAUGAUAAUUCUUAAGACAUGAAAUAAAUGCUUUAAACUCUCUGUAAGUGUGAAUGCAGAUAGUUUACAUCAGUAGUCAGUGCUGCAUCUCUUCUGACCAGUGCUUAUAUUUACCUGGAUACUAAGAAUAGCAGUGCUCUCAUUUAUUUGGAUUUUUACCUACAUUCAAAAACUGGGUAUACAAGUGAAAGACUAAUGUUAGAUCCCUAGUCCACUAAUUGAAAGUUUGGGGUUAGUGGAUUACUAACCUGCCAGACCUGUUUAUUGUAGCAACUGUAAGUAUAUGGAUGUGAGAUUAAUGUUCUAAGUUGAAAUUUCACUUAGUCAAAGUGACUUAGUCUUAUUUUUCUCUAAAUGAAAAUAUUGAAUUAGUGAUUUACUGUGUUUCACUAACUGGGAAUGUUAAGUUAGUGGAGUUUGUUUAGUUCUUUUAUCUAAGUGCAAUUAUUAACUAAGUGAUAACUAAGGCAAAGUGACUUUGUAUUUCUUUUCUCUAAGUGAAAAAUAUUGAGUUAGGGAUUUAAUAAAGAAUAGGACUUAGUGAAUUUAUGCAACAACAAGUUAGUGUUUUUAAUAAGUCAUGAGUGAACAAAGUGAAUUUAUUAAAUGACACAUCUCAGCUAGUCUUUUAAUUAAAGUGACUUAGUGUGUUGUGAUUAACGCAAGUUAUAAGUGAUUAAUCAAAGUCCAAGAAAUGUAUUUAAACUGUUUGUUUUCUUUAAGUAUCUUACAUAAGACGUAAGUGAAUAUAACAAUGAAAGUGAGUUCUUAAUUAUUUGUUUAGUGAAAGUGAAGUUUGUGAGUGAAUUCAAUUAUAGUGAUCACGGGUGUUUGUUUAUCCUAGUACUUUAUACAGGCGUUUGCCUCAUACUGAACACAAACUGUUGACCAAGUUAAGACAUAAAAGUGUAUAAUUGUUUUCGAAAUCUUGUUUUAACUAUGAUUAACUUUUGCAAGUUUAUGAAAUGUAUUUAUAUAUGAAUUGUUUGCAUUAUUGCUUAAUUAUAAAUGAUGAAAGUUUGGAAAGAAUAAAAAUAGUUUAGUCA